AUCCAGCUAAAGAGUCCCAAAUUGGACGAAAUGCGCGUGCUGGAU
rfam:Schistosoma curassoni strain Dakar, Senegal genome assembly, scaffold: SCTD_scaffold0002547